UGAGUAACCUGCCCUAGGCUUUGGGAUAACCCUCGGAAACGGGGGCUAAUACUGGAUAUUCCCGCGGGAUCGCAUGGUUUUGUGGGGAAAGGUUUUCCGGCUUGGGAUGGGCUCGCGGCCUAUCAGCUUGUUGGUGGGGUGAUGGCCUACCAAGGCGACGACGGGUAGCCGGCCUGAGAGGGCGACCGGCCACACUGGGACUGAGACACGGCCCAGACUCCUACGUGAGGCAG
rnacentral:rRNA from 1 species